AACGCUAGCGGGAGGCCUAACACAUGCAAGUCGAACGGGAUUGAGAGCUUGCUCUCAUGAGAGUGGCGCACGGGUGAGUAACGCGUAUGCAACCUACCUAUAACUGAGGGAUAGCCCAUAGAAAUGUGGAUUAAUACCUCAUAGUUCUUUUGAUCCGCAUGGAUUAAAAGAUAAAGCUCCGGCGGUUAUAGAUGGGCAUGCGUGACAUUAGCUAGUUGGUAAGGUAACGGCUUACCAAGGCUACGAUGUCUAGGGGUUCUGAGAGGAUGAUCCCCCACACUGGUACUGAGACACGGACCAGACUCCUACGGGAGGCAGCAGUGAGGAAUAUUGGUCAAUGGGCGCAAGCCUGAACCAGCCAUCCCGCGUGCAGGAUGAAGGCCCUAUGGGUCGUAAACUGCUUUUAUACACCAAGAAAAACACCCA
rnacentral:rRNA from 1 species